GCCACCGGCCUGCUGAUUAGAAACACCUGCUGAGUGCAAGACCACCAAGAUUCAAACAGUACCAAUAUAAUAACAAAAAAACAGUCUGUUGAAUGUGGCUGUUAAUAGAAAUUAUCGUAACAAAAAUUAGAGUAGUAUAAUUAACUUUUUCUCCUGCAUGUGAGUCCACGAAAUGUGUAAUGAAAUGAAAUACUCCGAGUUCGACGAGCUCUUUGGGCCUAAAAUGAUUGCUCAACCAAUUUGGACCAAGGAAAUGGAAGACACUGACCAAACGAUGUCUGAAAUCAGCACUACCAUGUCCAGUGGUCUGAAUGAUACACCUUGUCAGAGAGGGAAGUUCAUCAGCAGCCACUGAGAGUGCCAUCGAUUGAGCUGCCCUGAGCCCCGCCAGGGAUGAAAUGGUCAAAGGAGAAAUGUCUGCAGUGAGCUGAUUAGAUGAAAAGCUGCACAUGACAGGCUCUUGCUACAGCUCGGGUGAACAUCAAACGUCCAACAUAUC